rnacentral:lncRNA from 1 species
UCAACUGUGCUGGGGAUGGGUGACCUUAUUCCCUGCAUUGUUCAAGGGUCAACUAUAAUAGGUCAAUGGUCUGGAAAAUUCGAAGAGAAAAAGGGUGUAAGCAGGAGAUCCAUGUUCCAGGAGUAGGUCUACAUCACAGGUGUGAGUAAACUGAGAUACGUUCCUUGUAAGUAUCCUGUUAUUCAUCCAUGAAAUAGGAAAACAUAGCUAGCCACAAUGGUAGUUUAUUCUCAUUUCAAUGUUAGUUUUUAAGUUUCUAUAAUGAGUGAAUCCUAGAUAUAAACUAUGUAAAGAUAUAUAGCUUUUUAGAGAUCACACAAUGCUGCCAUAUAUACAAUGCUAUUUGAUCCUUACAAAAAAUAUUUGAGGAAGACAGUGCAGAAACCCCUAUUUUGCAGAUGAGAAAAGAUGGCUCCGAUGAAGGUGACUUAUCUAAGUUGGCAUGGACCAUUGUGGCAGAGCUGACUUGAACCCAAAUUUUCUGGUGUACAUUAUGAACUGAAUUCUGAUUCAGUUCAACAUGCAUUGACCCCACUGUAUACUAAGCUCUAGAAAUAAAAUAUGAGUAAGUUUCAGAUCUUUAAAUGCAGCCUAUGAGAAAAAACAGGUACUUUCUAUAAUAAAUUGAACCAUAUGACCAAUUGCUGUUUUUGUGGGCCAAAAAUGUCGAAUAUUGGUUAUUUCAUUUGAUUUAAUCAAAUAAUAUGUAAGUACUAUGAUAGCGGUAUAUUGAUAAGUUACUUUGUUGUUUUCCUUAUAUCUGGAAUUUCUGCUGCUCUCAACCAUUUUUAUCCUCUACUUUCUGAAGCAGUUGGCCUUGACAGAGGUGGCUAAAUGUCUACAUCACUUUAAUUCACAAGAAUACAUAUAUGCACGCUGGAUGACUGACGACCCUAGCAAUCCACACAGACUUCUUUCUUGCCUGAAUCAACACUCAAGUUCAUGUCUAAUACAGCAUUUCUUCUUGGCCUGUAAAUACAGGGAAUCAAUGGCUAAUGAGCAACUUCAUACAGGAUCUCUGAGGUUGUACAUAAUAAGUUGGACUACCCCAGACCUAAGGUACAUGGUAUUUCGAGACGUCAAGGACUGCAGAGUUCUGAUGGCUUAAAGAGUUAGGAAAAACCACUGAUUUGCCAGCCAAGAGGUCAUCUGUGACCUCAAGAUCUGCAGCAAUGGUGUAAGACUGAUAACUGGCAGCAAAAUAAAACAGCAGUACAUGAAAAAGGGUGGCUGUGUACCAAGCAUUG